GUUACCCCACUAAUGAUCGCAGCGGAGAAAGGACUGCCGAAUAUUUCAAACAUUCUUGUGACUCAUAACGCUAAUACGAACUUACUUAGUUACCAUUAUUCAAGUUCGAGUGAUGAAUCGGAGGAGGAAGAAGAUUGAACGAUCUGUAAUUAUUAAUUAAUAGAUGACUGUAUUCUCAGGGAUUCUCUGUGAUACACUGUUAGAUAACUGUACCAUGUCAACCCCAGCUGACGAGCUGUGAUUGGCUGAUUGUGUGUAGCCGGAUUUUUAUGUAUUAUGUAUAUUGUAUGUUUUUUUUCUGUGGUCGGUUCAGUCGGUCGUCAUCGAAGCGACAAGUCUAAACUGACUUCCUGUAGUCUAGCUGUAGAUAUUAUUGACAUUGAAUAAAUUAUCAAAGUAU
rnacentral:misc_RNA from 1 species